CUUGGUCAUUUAGAGGAAGUAAAAGUCGUAACAAGGUUUCCGUUGGUGAACCAGCGGAAGGAUCAUUACAAAACUAGUCGUCGGUAGGGGGCAACCCCCGCCGUGUAAGCUCACUAGUCACCCUUGAAUAAACUACCUUCGUUGCUUUGGCGGGUCGCCUUUUGGCCAGCGGCUUCGGCUGCUGCGUGCCCGCCAGAGGACCACAACUCUUGUCUUUAGUGAUGUCUGAGUACUAUAUAAUAGUUAAAACUUUCAACAACGGAUCUCUUGGUUCUGGCAUCGAUGAAGAACGCAGCGAAAUGCGAUAAGUAAUGUGAAUUGCAGAAUUCAGUGAAUCAUCGAAUCUUUGAACGCACAUUGCGCCCUCUGGUAUUCCGGGGGGCAUGCCUGUUCGAGCGUCAUUUAAACCUUCAAGCUCAGCUUGGUGUUGGGUGACUGUCCGCUGCCCUCGGGUGCGGACUCGCCUCAAAAUCAUUGGCGGCCGGUACAUUGGCUUCGAGCGCAGCAGAAACGCGAACUCGAGGACGUUGUAUUGGCUCCCAGAAGCUAUCUUCAUAAUUUUGACCUCGGAUCAGGUAGGGAUACCCGCUGAACUUAAGCAUAUCAAUAAGCGGAGGA
rnacentral:rRNA from 1 species